rnacentral:rRNA from 1 species
ACGGAGGAUGCAAGCGUUAUCCGGAUUUAUUGGGCUUAAAGGGUGCGUAGGCGGAACAGCAAGUCAGUGGUGAAAUCCUGCAGCUUAACUGUAGAAUUGCCGUUGAUACUGUUAUUCUUGAGUGCGAUUGAAGUAGGCGGAAUGUGCGAUGUAGCGGUGAAAUUCGUAGAGAUUGCGCAGAACACCGAUUGCGAAGGCACCUUACUGAGCCGUAACUGACGCUGAGGCACGAAAGCGUGGGGAUCAAACAG